rnacentral:rRNA from 1 species
GAUGAACGCUGGCGGCGUGCCUAAUACAUGCAAGUCGAGCGAACAGACGAGGAGCUUGCUCCUCUGACGUUAGCGGCGGACGGGUGAGUAACACGUGGAUAACCUACCUAUAAGACUGGGAUAACUUCGGGAAACCGGAGCUAAUACCGGAUAAUAUAUUGAACCGCAUGGUUCAAUAGUGAAAGACGGUUUUGCUGUCACUUAUAGAUGGAUCCGCGCCGCAGUAGCUAGUUGGUAAGGUAACGGCUUACCAAGGCGACGAUGCGUAGCCGACCUGAGAGGGUGAUCGGCCACACUGGAGCUGAGACACGGUCCAGACUCCUACGGGAGGCAGCAGUAGGGAAUCUUCCGCAAUGGGCGAAAGCCUGACGGAGCAACGCCGCGUGAGUGAUGAAGGUCUUCGGAUCGUAAAACUCUGUUAUUAGGGAAGAACAAAUGUGUAAGUAACUAUGCACGUCUUGACGGUACCUAAUCAGAAAGCCACGGCUAACUACGUG